CGGGCUCUCAAAUUUAUCAUGAAAUUGGCUGUAGACGAUCUUUUCCACCGACCCGCACGAUACUAUAUAGUUCUCCGAAUCAUUAAGUCGAUUUGAAGUUUUGGAGCUAAAAUGGCCGCAGGAAACUUGAUGAGAAGAACCGAGAAGAAUGGCUACGGCUGUCGGAAACCGAACGUCCGGCGGAUGAUUCGGAUGUCAUCUGAAUAUGAAUCAUGAAAAAUUAUUCACCAUUAACGAAACGAAUCUUGUAUUAAACAAGACGGACCUAGCGGAUCGGUCACAGACAUAGGACUGGACAAGAUAUUUUGAAGACCAUGCAUCUGUUAUGGCGUUAGGAGAAUAUUAGGGAGGUAAAGAGCUAAAAUGUAAUCUUUUUGUGUUCAUUUUUAAUUGCUAUCUUGUUUGAGCAACAUAUUUUCCUUUUACUUUCCAGCUUUGAAAUGCUGUUGAUGGUAAUUGUCAGAUGUCUUGGCAGUGUAUGCACUUUUUUUUUCUCUAACCAUGUUUUGUGCAAAAUUAAGUGCCAACUAAUUGUAAUUUAUACAUCCCAUAUUCAAAAUGAUACUUUGUCACGGUGGGACAAUCCAUUAUUUGUUCGAUCCUUUGAGCUGGCCUUAGUUGAUCUCUUCUUGGUCUAAUAGCAAUUGGUGAUGGUUCACUUCAUACAGUUCUUGAACAUUCUUCAAGCUAGAGUUAGAGAAUUGAAGAAGAGCGGUCAUUCUAGUCAUGCCACAACAAUGGUGCUGCUUCGAAAUCCAAAUGUCACUAAGUUGGCCCUUGCAACUCUCUGCAUCAUAUUGGGAGAAUUAGUGCUUAUCGCUCACCUCACAGAAAAGGGAAGUUGAAGUAUACUAUGGUGAGUCCACAGCCUUGUGAAACAAAAAUUAUCAGCAGCUUGAAGGUAUGUCGAAGUUGUCUUACUAUCUUGGGGUUACUGAUUCAGUUGUUGAGGUGUUUAUUCAAAAGUUCACAUUAACAUAUUUUGGAUUGAUCAAGGCUUAAUUAUCAUCUAUCCUUGUAGAAGAAAAAACAAUGUGUACUUCUAAAAAGGAGGUAUCCAUCUGAUCACACGCAGGUAUAAGCAUUAUUUGGUUUUUUUUUUUUUUUUUUUUUUUUUUU